rnacentral:rRNA from 1 species
GAUGAACGUUGGCGGCGUGCCUAAUACAUGCAAGUCGAACGAAGACUGUAGUAAUACUGUCUUAGUGGCGAACGGGUGAGUAACGCGUGGGUGACCUGCCCCGAAGUGUGGGGAUAACAGUUCGAAAGAACUGCUAAUACCGCAUAACAUCCAAGAGAUUAGAAGCUUUUGGAUUAAAGGAGUAAUUCGCUUCGGGAGGGGCCCGCGUCCCAUCAGCUAGUUGGUAAGGUAAUGGCUUACCAAGGCGAUGACGGGUAGGGGACCUGAGAGGGUGGCCCCCCAAAUGGAACUGAAACACGGUCCAUACACCUACGGGUGGCAGCAGUAGGGAAUAUUAGUAAUGGGCGAAAGCCUGAACUAGCAACGCCGCGUGAGUGAAGAAGGGCCUUCGGGUUGUAAAGCUCUUUUCGGCCGGGAAGAAAUCGUAAUGGGCUAAUACCCUGUGCGGAUGACGGUACCGGCAUAAGAAGCACCGGCUAACUACGUG